AAACCCAUUCAGUGGGGUCUGAAACACGAAAUUACUGCUUUGAAACAAGUGACAAAAUUAUUGUAAAGAGAAUAAUGCAAAAUUAGUUGUUUGGACAACAAAAGGAUUGCUUACGAUAGAUGUUCCAUUUGAUGAAAAAUAUUGGACAACCAUUAUGUUACCAGCUAUAAGAAGUUUCUUUGAGACGCAUAUAGCACCUGAAAUUCUAACAGGCAGACUUAAAAAAAUCUUUGGACUCUCAGGACAAUGUCAAAGACAAAGAGAAGUCUGAGAGCAGUGAAGAUUCUACAAAUGAAUCUUUCUCAGAAGAACAAGACAAGAAUAUUCACCUCGAGUGCACUAAUGAUGAUGAUGAUGAUGAUGAAGAAAAUGAUGAUGCUG